AGCAGUAGCCGCGGUAAUACGAGGGGUGCAAGCGUUAUUCGGAUUGAUUGGGUGUAAAGGGUGUGCAGACGGCUUAUUAAGUCACUUGUUAAAUUCUUCGGCCUAACUGAAGGUCUGCAAGUGAUACUGAUGAGCUAGAGGGUGGAAGAGAGAAGUGGAAUUCUCGGAGUAGCGGUAAAAUGCGUAGAUCUCGAGAGGUACACCAAUGGCGAAGGCAGCUUCUUGGUCCAUUCCUGACGUUCAUACACGAAAGCGUGGGGAGCAAACAGGAUUAGAUACCCCCGUAGUCCCUGUCUCUUAUAC
rnacentral:rRNA from 1 species